UACAGAGGUCUCGAGCGUUAGGCGGAAUCACUGGGCUUAAAGCGUGUGUAGGCGGAUCGUUAAGUACCUUGUGAAAUCCCACGGCUUAACCGUGGAAUUGCUGGGUAUACUGGCGGUCUUGAGCCACUUAGGGGCUACCGGAACAAAUGGUGGAGCGGUGAAAUGCGUAGAUAUCAUGUGGAACGCCAAUGGUGAAAACAGGUAGCUGGGAGUGUGCUGACGCUGAGACACGAAAGCCAGGGGAGCAAACGGG
rnacentral:rRNA from 1 species